rnacentral:lncRNA from 1 species
CUAAAAUUUAUGCUCUGCAGUUUACCCACAUAGAGAGUUUAUUUUAAAAUAAGUGCUAAAUGUUAAAAAAUUAAAGAGGUAGUAUUAAGAAAGGAAACCAAGAUAUUACCACUUAUAUAGCAUUUACUUAUUGUGAAGCAGGUGAACUACAUGGACUGGAAGUUCUCGGGGCUUAAGAUCUCAAAAGAUGACGGUUUUACAACUCAGUUAGAGGAAGAAGAAAUGACAUUAUCUCAUUCAGCACUGAAACAGGAAGAAACCCCACAUCCUAUAAAUGUAGAUCCAGAGUCAUCUGAACAGACUUCAGAAGCCAGUGAAACACAAGCCACAGACAGAGAUGAUGUGGUAGUGGCACCUCUAUCUGAGAAGUACCCAAAGCCAGUAAGUAUGCUGGAAGAAUCAUUGCACUGAGACAGACUAUAAAUAAUAAUAACUGGCUGCAGUGGUAUAAUUUCAGCUACUCGGGAGGCUGAGGCACAUGGAUUGCAAGUGUGAGGCCAUCCUGGGCAAUUCAGCAAGACCUUGUUUGAAAAAUAGAUACAUAGAUAGAUAGAUAGAUAGCUAUAGAUAGAUAAUAGAUGGAUAGAGGAUACAUAAAUGAUAGGUAGAUAGGCAGGUAGAUUUAGAUACAUAACAGAUAUAGAUAGAUAAUAGAUAGAUGAUAGGUAGAUGAGAGAUAGAUGAUAGAUAAAGAUAGACA